rnacentral:tRNA from 1 species
UAACUCAUGCCUGAAUUAAAGGAAUACAUUGAUGAUGUAUAUAUGAAUAUAAUUCUGA